rnacentral:rRNA from 1 species
GAUGAACGCUAGCUACAGGCUUAACACAUGCAAGUCGAGGGGUAACGAGAGGGAAGCUUGCUUUCCUUGUCGACGACCGGCGCACGGGUGAGUAACGCGUAUCCAACCUGCCCCCAACUAGGGAAUAACCUUGCGAAAGUAAGACUAAUACCCUAUAAUUUCCUCAGAUGUCAUCUGACGAGGAAUAAAGAUUUAUCGGUUGUAGAUGGGGAUGCGUCUGAUUAGCUUGUUGGCGGGGUAACGGCCCACCAAGGCAACGAUCAGUAGGGGUUCUGAGAGGAAGGUCCCCCACAUUGGAACUGAGACACGGUCCAAACUCCUACGGGAGGCAGCAGUGAGGAAUAUUGGUCAAUGGGCGAAAGCCUGAACCAGCCAAGUAGCGUGCAGGAUGACGGCCCUAUGGGUUGUAAACUGCUUUUAUACAGGAAUAAAGUUAGCCACGUGUGGUUAUUUGUAGGUACUGUACGAAUAAGGACCGGCUAACUCCGUGCCAGCCGCCGCCGUAA